rnacentral:rRNA from 1 species
UACGAAGGGGGCGAGCGUUGUUCGGAUUUACUGGGCGUAAAGGGCGCGCAGGCGGCUAUCCAAGUCAGGCGUGAAAGCCCCGGGCUUAACCUGGGAGGUGCGUCUGGGACUGGGUGGCUAGAGUUCGGGAGAGGAGAGUGGAAUUCCCAGUGUAGAGGUGAAAUUCGUAGAUAUUGGGAAGAACACCGGUGGCGAAGGCGGCUCUCUGGACCGAGACUGACGCUGAGGCGCGAAAAGCGUGGGGAGCAAACAGG